UACGUAGGGUGCAAGCGUUGUCCGGAAUUACUGGGCGUAAAGGGCUCGUAGGCGGCCAACUAAGUCGGACGUGAAAUCCCUCAGCUUAACUGGGGAACUGCGUCCGAUACUGGAUGGCUUGGAUUUGGGAGAGGGAUGCGGAAUUCCAGGUGUAGCGGUGAAAUGCGUAGAUAUCUGGAGGAACACCGGUGGCGAAGGCGGCAUCCUGGACCAAUAUUGACGCUGAGGAGCGAAAGCUAGGGGAGCAAACGGG
rnacentral:rRNA from 1 species